rnacentral:rRNA from 1 species
AUUGAACGCUAGCGGGAUGCUUUACACAUGCAAGUCGAACGAGUGGCGGACGGGUGAGUAAUAUAUGGGAACGUGCCCAGUAGCGGGGGAUAACUACUCGAAACAGUGGCUAAUACCGCAUACCAUCGGAGCGGCCCAUAUGGGAUUAGCUAGUUGGUGGGGUAAAGGCUCACCUAGGCAACGAUCCGUAGCUGGUUUGAGAGGACGACCAGGCACAAUGGGACUGAGACACGGGCCAGAACCCUACGGGGGGGAGCAGUGGGGAAUUAUGGACAAUGGGGCGAAACCCUAUCCCGGCAUCCCGGGUGUAUGAGAAGGCCUUCGGGUUGUAAAGUACUUUUGGCAGGGAAGCGGUAUCUGGAAAAUAAGCCCCGGCUAACUACGUGGCAGCAGCCGCGGUAAUAC